rnacentral:lncRNA from 1 species
UACUAUAGCUACUAGUUCCUUAUUGUGCGAAUUGGAUCACAUUUUGCCUGGUUGUUCGUCCUUGGAUAUGCCAUCAUAAAUUUGAUGUCCAUGGAUAUUUCAAUUUUGGACCUAGUGCCCAAUUCGACACUUAUUUGUCACUAUAAAUUUAUUACUAUAAUCGAGUCAAUGUUUUGGUUUCUUCACUAAUGGUUUAUACAGACAUUUAAUAUGACUUUGAGUCAUCUUAUGGAAUCUGAAGAAGUCCAUACUUUUUCUUGAUAAAAUUGUCUUAAUCUUGUUAAUCAAUGUGUAAUGAAGAAAUAGACCACUAUGGUUAGUGAUAUAUUAAGUUUAGAAAAAAAAAAUUUUUGUACCUAAAAUUUUUUUUUCAUCAAGUUGGAGGGGAAUGUAACGGAACGUUACUUAAUGAAAAUAUUUUAAUUAAAAAUCAAUAAUUUAAUAUUUAUAAAAUGCUACUUUUCCAUCUUGCAACACCGCCAACACUGGACAUUAGUUCCACGAGUAGCCGCUGUCGCAAGUAUCAAGAAGAACUGUCAAAUUUUUAAAAAGUUUCACUGUUAGCUGAACCUCCAAAUAAAUAAGUUCCAAGUGGUCGGUGGCUUUUUGAACAAAAAAAGGAAUCACCUUUUAAUUAUUUUUUUUAUACGGAAGCUAUCGUAAUUAAGUUGAAGGAGGAGAAAGUUUUGUUUUGUUGAAGGAGAAAAGUAUUAAUUUGGUAAAAAUUUGGGAUGAUUGCUAUCGGCCACUUGGAACCACUGGAAUAUUCAUCCCACUAACAUCAGGGAUGAAAUAAAAAAAAACUUUAGCGCAGUCACGGGGUAGCCUAGGAGCUGGAAUCGUCUUUUGAGUUGGUUUUUGGACUAUCAUUAUUUUGUUUGGAACUUUGGAAAAGACUUUACGUUAGUUGGUGUUGGACAGUGAUUAAGUAUUUUUUUUUUAUUAUUAUUUUCAAGAACAUUAAUUUUUUCUAAAUAAUUGGAACAUUCAAUAUCUAUUAAAAAUAUAAAAUUAAAUAAGUUUACAUUAUACUCCACUAAGUUAUUCAUAAUUUUUUCAAACAAAAACAAAAGAAAUAAUUUAAAUAUUUUCAAUUUUUAAUAAUAAAUAAUACCUCCUCUUCAAGGCUUCAAAUUUGCAUUUUUCUAAUAAAUUAAUUUCUUUUGUUUCUUUUCUCACGUGUAAAGGUAAUUGAGCUCAACUAUCCGGAGAAAAUUUGGUAAAUUUUUUAUAUAUUAUAAUUACUGAACCUUGGCUUUUGUCCCCCUCAGGGUAAUUGACCAUUUAACUUGUUUUUUUUAUUAUUGUAACCGCACAUGAAGUUAGAGUUUUACCUCGAGUAGUGUGUCGGUUCAUUUUUGUACCAUAAAUUGGAUUUGACAUUUCAAACCAAUUUUUAGGGGUGGACUUUGUUCCUCUUUUGUUUAAACUACUCUGUAGACUGUAAAUUGUACAUACUUUAUUAGUAAAAUAUUUUUUAUUAAUUUUAGGGCAUACCUUGUUGGUACAUAUACGAAUUUUUGUACAUAUAAGUAAAAGCUAAAUACACUAUUGAUUGGGUUGUAUAA